GAACUUACAAACCCGAAAGGUCGAAAGGGGAAAUUCAUUCGCGUUUCGACCGUCGAUGACGAGCGGUCGAGUGACGGAUGGCGUUCGCGUCGUCCGCGCCUUCUGUUCGUAGAAUCGGCGUCGAACGCGUGCACUUUUCCCCUAGUAGGACGUCGCGAUCCGUUGGGUGUCGGUCUAAGGCCCUCGGUGGAGCCCAGUAGACGUUUCGACGUUGCGUGGACCCGAGGCGUCCCGGCCGGCCCGCUCGACGGUAUCAUUAAGGCGCGAGGCCGCUACUACAGUUAGCGUUCGGCCCGCGGCAAGCACGUUCGGCGUUUGACGGAGAUCGGACCUAGUGCCGGUGCCGUCCCCGAGCGACUGUUGGCCGUGGUGUUCUCGAACAGACCUCGUCGAAAACGCCGAAUCUGCGACGCUAUAGCUUUGGGUACUUUCAGGACCC
rnacentral:rRNA from 1 species